UAUAUCUUCGGAGAAAGAAAAUGUAUUGAACAUUUUUUUCUAUAUUUUUAUUGCAAUGUUGAACGAUUGUACAGGAGUAUAAAAGCAGGCAGCGAUUAAUCUUUUUUUUACUCCAAAAAAAUACAAAUACCACGAAGAUUUCACUUCAGUUUUGAUUGAUAACUAAUUCAUAACCAAUCAUCCUUAAAAUUAACAAAAUGGUUACUCGAAUAUCACUCGGCUACUGUAUCAUCACAUUCCUCCUUCUGUCAAUUAGCAUUAAUGUUGAAUGUACUGGAAAGCCGAAAAAAGACGGAAGUCAGUCUGAUUCCGAAUCAUCAUUCUCUCUGGGAAGUGAUUUUGAAAAUGCUGGAAUUAAUAUCCAUGAAGAUCUUGGUUCUGAUUUCGACGCAAUCGUGGAUGAUUUUCAAGCUGGAAAACUUGAGGAUACUGAAAAUGGAAUCGAACCAAUCUCAGAUGAUGAUCCUACAUCCAAUGUGAUAGGUAAAGGGAAAAAACCAAAGGGGAAAAAAAUUGAAAUACCUCAAGUAGGCGACCAAGUUGCACCGGAUGUAUCUGUACGAAGAAGCCGAAGACUUCAUAAGAAAGCAGAUAUGCCACAUCCUAAUUAUCUUAGGUCAGAUUCAUCCGAAGUCUCAGACGGUCCAUCUACUAGUCAUCAAGCAGAAAUAAGAAAAAUUACGCGUUUCUUAAAAUCUUCCAAAGAGGAUAGAAGAAAAUCGACAGAUCUUUCGGCAAAGAUAUCCGAUAUCUCAGAUAUUGAAUCUUUACAUGAGCUACGAGAUGACAAUGAAAAUGAAUUUCCAUUAAUUGGUAAGGAACCAAAAAGUGUUAAAAGUCGCACCAAAUAUGCACCAGAAACCGAGCCGAUCUCAGAUGAUGAUCCUACAUCCAAUGUGUUAGGUAAAGGGAAAAAAUCAAAGGGAAAAAAAAUUGGAAUACCUUACGUAGGCGACCAAGGUGAUUCGUCUGUUGCUUCCUCAGAUUCCGAAAACGUUUCACCGGAUGUAUCUGUACGAAGAAGCCGAAGACUUCAUAAGAAAGCAGAUAUGCCACAUCCUAAUUAUCGUAGGUCAGAUUCAUCCGAUCUCUCAGACGGUCCAUCUACUAGUCAUCAAGCAAAAAGAAGAAGAAUUAUGCGUAUCUUAAAAUCUUCCAAUGAGGAUAAAAGAAAAUCAUCAGAAGAGGGAGAUAACGCCAAAGGAAAGGAACUAAGACGUGGUAAGACAAAGAUUGUGCCAGAUCUUUCGGCAAAGAUAUCCGAUAUCUCAGAUAUUGAAUCUUUACAUGAGUUACUAGAUGACAAUGAAGAAGAUGCAAGAGUUUCAGAACCUGAAAAAGGUAUGUUUUCCUGAAAUUAUUACCUUUAGUCAGUAAUAGUUUACUAUAGGAGGCAAUAUUUAUUGCUACAUUAUCAACUGUUGGUACGGUCAAAUUUGUGUUAAUAAACUGUUUUACCGACCGAAGGUAACGUAUACCUUAAUAGAAAUGAUUUACAUACCCCAAAAAUGAACCUUUGCUGAUAUAAAAAAUGUAUAGGUGUUUUUUCCAUAUAUUAGAAUUUUUAGAAUUAGAAACAUCGAGUUUCACUAAGGUAGUCUUACAUUUAUUGUUUUACUAAAAAAAUUGUGCACAAUUAAUACUUUUUAUUUGUUACAGACCUAAUUGACCAUAUUCAUACUAAUAUGGUACAAUUGUAAAUUGUAGUAAAUAUUUUCUUUCCUAAUGAUAAUUUUUAUUCCUUGAGUUUUAUUACAGAAAAUGUAUCUAGCAACUAGGUUCAAUAGGUCGAAUAGAACAAGAAAAUGUUUCUCGUCAGGUUAAGAGAAAAAGUACCUGAAAUUCAACCAAGAAGAGUCUUCUUGAAUUCAACAAAUAUGGACAGAUAACCUCUACUGCAGAGGUUAUGUUGAUACUUAAAACAUAAAUUAUCAAAGAAAAGAAGUACUUCAGAAUCGCAGACUUUCCAAAAGAUGAAUUUUACAAAAAGGAUUUCAAUUCCAGUAGGACUGAAUAAUAAAAUAUGAAUCAAUAAAGGAAACAAAUAUAACGAAAUGGAUCAAAAAGGUAUCAAGAAUAUUAUGACGAAUAGGAUAUUCCAGUAGGACUGAAUGAUAAAAUAUGAAUCAAUAAAGGAAACAAAUAUAACGAAAUGGAUCAAAAAGGCAUCAAGAAUAUUAUGACGAAUAGGAUAUUCCAGUAGGACUGAAUGAUAAAAUAUGAAUCAAUAAAGGAAACAAAUAUAACGAAUUACGAAAUGAAUCAAAAAGGCAUCAAGAAUAUUAUGACGAAUAGGAUAUUCCAGUAGGACUGAAUGAUAAAAUAUGAAUCAAUAAAGGAAACAAAUAUAACGAAAUGAAUUAAAAAGGUAUCAAGAAUAUUAUGACGAAUAGGAUAUUCCAGUAGGACUGAAUGAUAAAAUACGAAUCAAUAAAGGAAACAAAUAUAACGAAAUGAAUCAAAAAGG